rnacentral:rRNA from 1 species
CCUACGGGUGGCAGCAGUGGGGAAUAUUGCACAAUGGGGGAAACCCUGAUGCAGCGACGCCGCGUGAGUGAAGGAGUAACUCGUUACGUAAAGCCCUAUCAGUAGGGAAGAAAAUGAAGGUACCAGAGUAAGAAGCCCCGGCAAACUAUGUGACAGUAGCCGCGGUAAUACGUGGGGGGCAAGCGUUAUCCGGAUUCACGGGGGGUAAGGGAGCGUAGACGGUGGGCGAAGUCUGGAGUGAAGUGCCGGAGCUUAACUGCGGGACUGCUUUGGAAACUGGAGGACUAGAGUGCGGGAGGGGGAAGCGGAAUUCCUGGUGUAGCAGUGAAAUGCGUAGAUAUUAGGAGGAACACCCGUGGCGAAGGCGGCUUACUGGACCGUAACUGACGUUGAGGCACGAAGGCGAGGGGAGCGAACGGGAUUAGAUACCCCUGUAGUC